CAAAAAUGAGUCAUCAGCUGGACAUUCUGGACGCAGAAAUGGGUGUACAUUGCUAUUCAGGCUUGAAUCGAGGUACCUUUGCUCCAGCAGCCUGCCUCCUACCACAAGCACUUCUGGAGGCUAUACAAGAACUCUGCUACAUGUAAAUAUAAGGUUCCCUGAGUACGUUCUUCCGGAGCUUGAAUUGUGUUCCAUCAAUAUUUCUACUGCUCUUGAUCAAGACAAGGAAACCACCUCAAAAUACAACUGGAAGGCACUUUAAGAAAUUGUUCUCUCAUGUUUUCUUUCAAGCAGUAGGCAAAAAGAGACCGUGUUCCAGCCCCACAUUUUGAGACAUAAAUCUUGACAAAAAAUGAUCAACGAAUGGCAACAAUAGCAAUGAAGCCAACACGGCUACCACGGGCUCUUCACCUUGUUCCUAUCUACAGGAUUUAAUCCAUUGACACACAUUGGAAGAAAAAGAAAUUUCCGCAUCAACUCGAGGUCUAUGGCUGCCUUGAGAAGAGAUCUGAGAACCUGACACAUCACUUAAGAUGGGGCUUUUAUCCAAACCAAGCAACUAAAAUAAAACAUGGCUUCCUUCCCCGAGAUGGUUUCAUAGCUCAGCUCUCCAACUUUCUCCCCUACCACAAACACGCAACACAAUUGUGCAACAGCCUAGGAAGGAAUGGUGAGAUCAGAGCCGUGACUGCAGACAUCCUGACAUGGGGAUCUGGCAGCUAUUCAACACAAACACAAUUAGAGGACUUACCCUUGCGUGAAGUAUUUGCUUUCUUGAUAGUCACCAGCCUUAACCUCUAGGAAUGCUUACGAAUCAGAUAGCAUUCCUUGAGGAGGGUGAGCCUUUUCAAGCUCCUCUGUCUUGUUUUAGCCAACACAGAUAUAAAGAAGAAAGAAAUUCCACCACAUCAUACAACUUCUCCAAGUGAAAGCAUUUCAGAGGACAGAAGAGCUGUGAUCUCAAAAUUUCUGCCAAGGAUUCAAGAACCAAAUUUGUGAACAUGAUACUUGUUCCUUUCCCCCUUCAUUAUGACCAGCAGGAAUAAAUAACAGCACAACAGGCAAGCUUUGGAAUUCACACCAAAUGUGAAAGUAGGGGCUCCCUGAGGCCUGCAUAUUGGCUCCUCAUCACCGUAGGCUUCUCUUGCACUGCUGAUCCCACAGAAUGAUGGCAGGGUUUUGCAUAUCUUAGAAAACUUGGAGGAUGUGUGCGUCUGCAUAUCUCUUUGUGACCUUGUUCAUGUUUUCAGAAAAUGUAGCCUAAUAUACAUGUGUGUUACCCAACCUACCACGAAACCUAAAGCAUAACAACACAAGUAUUUUGGUAGUUUUAUUUCUACUCGUGGUAAAUCCAGGGCUUUUCACGGAGGCAACAAAAUCUUAGCAAAGGCAACAGCAGUUGACCUUAUAUAAAAUAACUGCUAGCAAAUAAGUCAAAUGCUGGUCUGGGAGAGCAGUUACAAAGGGACAUUCAUGUUUUAUAAUGCCCAAGGAUUUAUAUUAUUCUCAACUUAAGCUGUGCUAGUGACUCAAAAUUACUGGACAGAAGAAGUACACAACCUCAGGGGUGUAACGUAGCAGUUCUGAGAGCAAGGCUACAUAGAGGGAUUUCCAGAUGACGCCAUGUAAAGUGCCACAACUACUGCAGGUACUACAAUUUACAGAGACACUUAAUAGAGCAAAUUAGCCAAGCUAAGCUAAGCAGAGUGCAACACAAAGGAUGUGCUACUGCUACAACUCCAUGUAACUUAUUCAGUUUGCGCCAGGUGUCUCUAUAUAGCACUUAUCCCACAAGGAAAAAAAAAAUCACAGAAAAAUUUGCAGUCUAUCAUAAUGGUAUAAUAUAAAGGAAAAUAAUAAUUAUAGAAAAUGGUAAGGAUGCCUCCAGUGCAGAAAUUCUGGACUGAACUUAGAGUUGCUGAACUGUAUGACCUGCGUGAGCUAACCCUCCACCUCAGAGCAUGAGCACUUAUUCAAGAAAUGACAUUCAAAUGUUUUAUGACCUUGAGCAGCAGCUUAACAUCUGUAGGAGGAACAGUUGUGCAUUGUAGCUGCCUUCCCAAGCGAUCAGAUGCACUCUUCCAUUGUUAGUAACUUUCAAAUAACAGCAAUUUGAAAAGCAGAAGAGAAUGCCAAAAUAACAGAGAUCUGAAUCCAGUCGGAACAAGAUGCUCCCAGUAAUAUUUCUAACACUAUGAAAGUUCCUCCCCUUGUCAGAAUCCAGGGAAAUAUUUUGCACGGUAUGAAGAGAAUAACAAUAAUGCCUCAGCCUGAAAUUAAUGGUCACCGGGUUCCAACUAAAAGAGCUGAUUUAUGUUUUUUGGGUGCACUUGGAUAGAACAGGUUAUGUUCGAGAAAUGGACUGCCGAGCUAUCAUAGCAUUGAUCUUAAAGCAGGGGCAUUAAGCAAGCAAAUACAGCAGAAGAAAUUAUUUCUGGGGUAGCUUUGUUGACAUCUGCAGCCCUACCCAAGCCAAGCAGUCAUCCCACC
ensembl:lncRNA